rnacentral:lncRNA from 1 species
ACUUUUACUAACUUUUACGACUUCUACGCAUAAUAUCUUCGACGCAUGAAGAUACCUUCAAACUUACAGUGCUCGCUUUUAUUAUUAUUAGUAAUUAUUAUUAUUAUAUUCCCAAUCAUGAAAAAAUGAAAGUUAUAGUAUCCCUGUAUAGUUGCCCUGUUUAGUAUAUUACUCAUCACUAUAAUCUUCGGCUUCGAAAGCAAAACAUUCAGAAAAAAGUCGCCCGUAUGAAACGUUUUACAUGGAAGAAAUGAAACCCAUCUGAAGGAAGCAGAUUUUUAAUUGACUUACACUCACCAAAAAUGGAAAUAGAUCUGGUGCACUACUACUUCAGGGAAAAGCUUUACCAUGAAAUGCUGCGAAGUACUGAAUUGAGUCAAGAAAGUGAUCCAUCAGACCUCACUUCCAAUCUGUAUAUUGGAGUUGCACACUUUUAAAUGGGCGAUUAAGUGAAGCUUUAGAACAACUUCAGCCUUUGACAUCAGAACCAAAUAUAGCCCUAGCUGCUCUACUGGCGUCGAUUCAUAUACAUAAACAAUGCAAGAUGCCUGAUAAGGAAGCAAUCUACAAAGCAGAACAAUUACUCAAGGAUGAGAUGAAACUCCCUCAUGAAACUGCAUUACUCAAUGCUGCCGACAUUCUUUUCAUGGUUGGAAAAAUUGAAAAAGCUCGAGACUUCAUUCACAGACUGAUGAAACUGAAUCCAGAAUCAUUACGCGGUUUGGUUUUAAAAGGUUGGAUAGAACUGACUGAAGGCAAUAAGAAGAUUGCUUUAUCUUGCUUUCGAUCCGCUCUUGCCAAGAACCCUUUUUGUAUGGAUGCCGUGUUUGGUGAGGUAAAAAUUAUUCCACCCUGUGAUGGUCUGUCAAAAGUAAAUCAACUAAUAGUCAGGUAUCCUGAGUUGAGUCCCCACUGGUCGAGAAAAUGCGCCUUCAUCUCUCUCUUUUUGACUGGCAGUUAA